UACGGAGGAUGCGAGCGUUAUCCGGAUUUAUUGGGUUUAAAGGGUGCGUAGGCGGAUCGUUAAGUCAGUGGUCAAAUUGAGGGGCUCAACCCCUUCCCGCCAUUGAAACUGGCGAUCUUGAGUGGAAGAGAAGUAUGCGGAAUGCGUGGUGUAGCGGUGAAAUGCAUAGAUAUCACGCAGAACUCCGAUUGCGAAGGCAGCAUGCCGGCUUCCGACUGACGCUGAAGCACGAAAGCGUGGGGAUCGAACAGG
rnacentral:rRNA from 1 species